CGACCGGCAAACGGGUGCGGAACACGUAUAUAACCUACCCGUAGCUGGGGCAUAACACUAAGAAAUUGGUGCUAAUUCCCCAUAGUAUUAUAGAGGGGCAUCUCUUUAUAAUUAAAGUUCCGACGGCUAUGGAUGGAUGUGCGGCCGAUUAUGGUAGUUGGUGUGGUAACGGCUCACCAAGCCUGCGAUCGGUAGCUGGUGUGAGAGCACGACCAGUCACACGGACACUGAGACACGGGUCCGACUCCUACGGGAGGCAGCAGUAAGGAAUAUUGGUCAAUGGACGCAAGUCUGAACCAGCCAUGCCGCGUGGAGGAUGAAGGUUCUCUGAAUUGUAAACUUCUUUUAUCUGGCAAGAAAUCCCCUUUUCUAAGGGUGUUGACGGUACCAGAUGAAUAAGCACCGGCUAACUCCGUGCCAGCAGCCGCGGUAAUACGGAGGGUGCGAGCAUUAUCCGGAUUUACUGGGUUUAAAGGGUGCGUAGGUGGCUAAGUAAGUCAGUGGUGAAAUCCCCGAGCUUAACUUGGGAACUGCCAUUGAUACUAUUUAGCUUGAAUAUUGAGGAGGUGAACAGAAUAUAUCAUGUAGCGGUGAAAUGCUCAGAUAUGAUAUAGAAUACCGAUUGCGAAGGCCGUUCACUACACAAUUAUUGACACUGAGGCACGAAAGCGUGGGGAUCAAACAGGAUUAGAUACCCUGGUAGUCCACGCCCUAAACGAUGAAUACUCGACAUUAGCGAUAUACUGUUAGUGUCCAAGCGAAAGCGUUAAGUAUUCCACCUGGGGAGUACGAU
rnacentral:rRNA from 1 species